rnacentral:rRNA from 1 species
GAUGAACGCUAGCGGCAGGCCUAACACAUGCAAGUCGAGGGGCAUCGCGGUGCAGCAAUGCACUGGCGGCGACCGGCGUACGGGUGCGUAACGCGUAUGCAACCUGCCCCGCACCGGGGGAUAGCCCGCCGAAAGGCGGAUUAAUACCCCAUGGUCCCGGGGGCCCGCAUGGGCAUCCGGGUAAAGCCUUGGCGGUGCGGGAUGGGCAUGCGUGCCAUUAGCUGGCUGGUGGGGUAACGGCCCACCAGGGCAACGAUGGCUAGGGGGUCUGAGAGGAUGGUCCCCCACACUGGUACUGAGACACGGACCAGACUCCUACGGGAGGCAGCAGUGAGGAAUAUUGGUCAAUGGGCGGAAGCCUGAACCAGCCAUGCCGCGUGCGGGAUGAAGGCCCUACGGGUUGUAAACCGCUUUUCCCCGGGAAGAAUAAGCCCCCGCGGGGUGAGUGCCGGUACCGGGGAAUAAGGAUCGGCUAACUCCGUG